rnacentral:rRNA from 1 species
AGCAGCCGCGGUAAAUUCCAGCUCCAAUAGCGUAUAUUAAAGUUGUUGCAGUUAAAAAGCUCGUAGUUGAAUUUCGGGAUCAAUAUGCUGGUCGUGCCUUUGGUACGUACUGGCAUUAUUGGUUUCUCCUUUCUGAUGAAUCACGAUGUCAUUAAUUUGGUGUCAUGGGGAAUCAGGACUGUUACUUUGAAAAAUUAGAGUGUUUAAAGCAGGCUUACGCUUGAAUACAUUAGCAUGGAAUAAUGAAAUAGGACGUUUAAUUCUAUUUUGUUGGUUUCUAGGAUUGACGUAAUGAUUAAUAGGGAUAGUUGGGGGCAUUAGUAUUCAAUUGUCAGAGGUGAAAUUCUUGGAUUUAUUGAAGACUAACUACUGCGAAAGCAUUUGCCAAGGAUGUUUUCAU